AAACCGCCUAGAGGUAAACGGGUGGAUCCGCGAAAGUCGGCUUGCAAAAUUCAGCUCGGAAGGUCGGUGCAGAUGGUGGUGCGAGAUCCGGGUUGGACUCGCCUGUUGUUUGACCGCUGGCUUGACGUGUGCACUUUUCGCAGGCAGAGCGCCACGACCGGUUCUGGAGCAGUCAGAAGGCGGUGGGGAAGGUAGGCGGGCGCUUCGGCGCUUGCUGUUAUAGCCCUGCCAGCCCCGAGCUGCUCGUGAAGGACCGAGGAGCCGCCGCUCGGCCGAAAGCUACCCUCGCUCUCCUGGGGGUGAAUCGACUGGCAGAGACUGGGCCACCGUGUCUGCCGACCGCCCUCCCGGACAGACUGGGGGGUGAAAGUAAAGCGUAGCUGGCCGAGCACAGGGUCGGUGGCGAAUCGGUCGGCACUCCACCCGACCCGUCUUGAAACACGGACCAAGGAGUCUAACAUGCGCGCGAGUCGUUGGGUGGUACGAAACCCGAAGGCCAAGUGAAAGCGAGGGCCGUCCUCGCGACGUGCUCAGGUGGGAUCCCUUUCCGUCGCCGGGAGGGGCGCACCACCGGCCCGUCUCGUUCGCGCUGUCGAGGAGGCGGAGCAAGAGCGUGCACGUUGGGACCCGAAAGAUGGUGAACUAUGCCUGAGUAGGAUGAAGCCAGAGGAAACUCUGGUGGAGGUCCGCAGCGAUUCUGACGUGCAAAUCGAUCGUCAAACUUGGGUAUAGGGGCGAAAGACUAAUCGAACCAUCUAGUAGCUGGUUCCCU
rnacentral:rRNA from 1 species